AUCACAAGGUACCGGCUCAAACCUCUAGUCUAUAACAUCACAAGGUACCGGCUCAAACCUCUAGUCUAUAACAUCACAAGGUACCGGCUCAAACCUCUAGUCUAUAACAUCACAAGGUACCGGCUCAAACCUCUAGUCUAUAACAUCACAAGGUACCGGCUCAAACCUCUAGUCUAUAACAUCACAAGGUACCGGCUCAAACCUCUAGUCUAUAACAUCACAAGGUACCGGCUCAAACCUCUAGUCUAUAACAUCACAAGGUACCGGCUCAAACCUCUAGUCUAUAACAUCACAAGGUACCGGCUCAAACCUCUAGUCUAUAACAUCACAAGGUACCGACUCAAACCUCUAGUCUAUAACAUCACAAGGUACCGACUCAAACCUCUAGUCUAUAACAUCACAAGGUAC